AUGGGGAGUAUCGCAUUUGCGAGGAAGGGCUGGCCUAGGUUGUUUCGCAUUUGCAACUCAGCCUUCGCAUUUGCGUACUUGCAUUUGUGAUGCGAAGCUUGUAGGGCUGCAAUGAAACAGCUGAAGCCUGCAAUUUCUCAAGUCGGUUAGUAACGAUUGUCUGUAACGACUCUUAUUCGGUUAGUAUUUUGACAUAACAAGUUAAGAGAUUUAAAAUAGCUGCAAUAUAUCCAUGGAUGUAUCAAGCAUUUAUAUUCUGAUAGAUGUUGAACCUUUCUCUAGGUUAUACCUGCUAAAUUAUGACUUUGUGCUUGAGUAUUUUACUUUGUAUUUGAUAGCAGCUCAUUUUCUUAAUACAUUCUUCUGCUUGGUAUUUGUUAUGCACCCAAUGGCUAUUUGUGGAUUAUCUCUUACAAAAAGAGUGCAAUUAGCACACUGCUUUUUCUUUCAGUCGACAUCUUGGGAUGCUAAUUUCGGAUUGUAAUAGAAAGAAAGAAGGUCAAUCAGUCUUGCGAACAUGCAUAUCUGUCAGUCACAUGGUUAUCCCAUGUAAUGUAAACAGAUACUUCAAAUGUCUGAGGCUCAAUAUGUUUAAAAUUUGACUAUCAAAAUCUACAUGUAAUAUCAUUUCUGCGGAAUACGGAAGGACAGCAAGAAGUUGCUUUGGUGGUCAUGAUGGUAACAACCAUAAAAAACGAUAGAACACUGAGUAGUGUCUCUAUUGUAAGGUUGAUGAUAAAGAGAAGUCGCAAGCAACAACAAUCUAAUGUUAGCUUUUAUAUUGGUGGGUGAUAGAAUUUGGUGUGAUGUCUUCUGUCAUGUCUUUUUAAGAUAAAUGUGACAAAGUACUCGAUCAUGCAAAACAAUUUUUUAUGUACGGUAUAUAGCCAAGUGCAUUAUGUAGUAAACAAUUUUUCAUUUAGCACGCCCAAUUUUGUUCUGUUUCUUCA